CCCAGGAAACUGCUCCGCCGGGAAACAAAGGGCUGGGCGGGGGCGGGGAAGGGGCCGAGCGGAGCCGGGCAGCGACCCGCGCGGGCCGGGGUUCGGGCGCUGGGGCGGCCGCAGGCUGGAGAGCGGAACCGGGGACCAGAAAACGGAGAGACCGGGCAGCGGCAGGCGGGGGAGGGGGCCCAGAGGCUGAGCACUGUUCCUACCAGCUGUUGGCACUUGAGGUCUCAGAAUCGCUGCACUGCCAAGGGGUCACUUCGAGUCUUUCCUCCCGCUUGAACUGUCAACUGGAACCAAGGAGAGAAGGCAGGGUAGCCGGCCGCCCUUGGAAGACCCUGGAAGACGCUGGCCUCAGGCUGGGGAGCUGUUAGGGGUGAGGGGUUCCCCACGUAGGGGCAGCUGAAGCAGGCCGGGUGGCAGAGGUGCGGACAGCAGGUGAGUGGGCUGAAGGCUGUGUGUGGGUCCUUCCUUGCCCACCUCCUUGGAUCACUGUGGGUUCCUGGAUCUCCCGCUGGGCCCCGAAUCUCAGCCCAGAGCAGAGCCCCUCUCUGACACAGAGUCGAGGGCCAGGUGCCCGCGUGGAUCUGCUGACUGGGUCCCCCUCCACUGACUGCCCCAGCCCUGCCUCCCACCCUUCUCGAUGGAAAGCAUCUGAGCCGAGGCGACCCUCUCCGGCUCGGAAGGAGGGCAUGGUGCCUGCAGCCUCUCCAGGAAUGCAUUAUUGAGGAGGACUUGGCGCUGGCUGCUCACUGCUGCCUCUCCCUCUGCUGCCCGCUGCAGGCAGGGAGGGGGUGUGUCCCGGGGACCUGGGAAGGAGGGCUGGGGAGGGGCAGCCUCUAGACAGGGACUGGAAAGUGAGGGGGGGGGUGCCUGCCCAGGAGAGCAGGGCGGUCUGGUGGAGUUGUACUGCCCCCAUAGCCCCCAACCAGAGGGGAGCUGGCAGCCCCCCUGGAGCCAGCUUGGGAAGUGGAGCUGGAAGAAUCUUUUUAUUUUUUUAAAAGAUUUAUUUAUUUAUUUAUUUGAAAGGCAGAGUUACAGAGAGAGUCUUCCAUCUGCUGGUUCACUCCCCAAAUGGCCACAAUGGCUGGAGCUGCACCAAUCCGAAGCCAGGAGCCAGGAGCUUCAGCCAGGUCUCUCACGCAGGUGCAGGGGCCCAAGCACUUGGGUCAUCCUCCAGUGCUUUCUCAGGUUCAUUAGCAGGGAGCUGGAUGGGAAAUGGAGCAGCCAGAACUUGAACCCAUGCCCAUAUGGGAUGCCAGCACUGCAGGUGACGGCUUUAACCCGAAGCCCCAAGACUCUUGACCCAAGGUUGCCCGGGGUGAGAGGUCUGGGCUCCACAUGCCUCCUGGGUAGCAGAGUGACCUGAAGCCAUCGUGAGCAGGGCCAUCGGGUUAUUGGGGGACGCUGUGGAAGAGGGGGGCACUGCCGGAAGCUUGCGGUGGAGAGGAAGCGUCCCCCGGACCUUGGAAAGAAUGCAGGCUUCUCAGUCUAACAACCAGAAGCCAAGUCCCGUUCUCCCGCAUACCCGGUGUGGGCAAGGCAUUCACAUCUCAGAAAUUCAGCUUUCUACUUUUAAGAAUGGAAAAUAACAACAACAACAAAAAACAGCACUGAUUUUACCAGAAGUUCCGUGAGGAUUCAACAGGAACGUUUGUUUCAUAAAAAGAUAAAUUGCUGUCUCAGGGUCAGCCAUUGCUGGGGCCAGAGAUGGACGUGGCUCGGCUCAGCUGGGCUCCCAGUGGAAAGAACCUUGCAGCAGUCCGCCUGCCCAUGACCUGGGUGUGAGCCCGUGCCCUGGGCCUGACCCAGGAAGGAACUGGAAGGUUCCUUCCUCUUCUGAGACUGGAUGACUUGCCAGAGGCCACAAUUAGCCCGAGGCGGGCUCUGGAUUCAGACCCAGAACUUGGCGAUUCUCAUUCCUGGAUUCUUCCUGUUGCAAGUGCUCCUGCUGCAGACUUAGGAUUGGGGGGACCUUGCCCUGUGAAAAGUCCCCCACAGCCAGCGAGGCCUCGGCCAUUGGUGCUUCAUUCUUUACUGCGUCCCCACACCUCCUUCUCCUGCAGGAAUAAACCCUGUGUAGAUUUCCUGACUCUUCUCAGAGGCAGCAUGAAUGCAUGAAUAAUAUUACGGAUGCUUUGGAA